rnacentral:tRNA from 1 species
AGAAAAGUAAGCUAAGUUAAAAGCUAGUGGGUUCAUACCCCAUCUAUAGAGGUAUACUCUCUUCUCUA